rnacentral:rRNA from 1 species
ACUCAAAUGAAUAGACGGGGACCCGCACAAGCGGUGGAGCAUGUGGUUUAAUUCGACGCAACGCGAAGAACCUUACCUGGGUUAAAUCCCAGUUGCAAGGCGUAGAGAUACGUCCCCCUCGCAAGAGGCGGCUGGGAAGGUGCUGCAUGGCUGUCGUCAGCUCGUGUCGUGAGAUGUUGGGUUAAGUCCCGCAACGAGCGCAACCCUUACCAUUAGUUGCCAGCAGUUCGGCUGGGCACUCUAAUGGAACUGCCGGUGAUAAACCGGAGGAAGGUGGGGAUGACGUCAAGUCAUCAUGGCCUCUAUGUCCAGGGCUACACACGUGCUACAAUGGCCGGUACAAACCGCUGCAAACUCGCGAGAGGGAGCCAAUCGGAAAAAACCGGUCUCAGUUCGGAUUGCAGUCUGCAACUCGACUGCAUGAAGUUGGAAUCGCUAGUAAUCGCGGAUCAGCACGCCGCGGUGAAUACGUUCCCGGGUCUUGUACACACCGCCCGU